rnacentral:rRNA from 1 species
AUGGCGACCGCGCUGCGUCUCGCGCGGGACUCUCCGGCGGCCGUCUCCAAGCUCGGGAGGGAGAGGGCCUCGCUGUGCGCCAUCGCUAGGCCGGGUGGGCAAUGCUGUGCGCGGAGGGGGCUGGUGCUCCGCUGCCAGAGCGGGGCGGCCGCAGCGGCGGCCACCACUAUCAGGAAGGGCGAGGCGGCGGAUGGAGCCGGGGCAGCGGCGGGGUUCACCGUCGUGAUGAAGUUCGGCGGCUCGUCGCUGGCGUCGGCCGCGCGGAUGCGGGAGGUGGCCGACCUCGUCCUCAGCUUCCCCGAGGAGACGCCCGUCGUCGUCCUCUCCGCCAUGGGGAAGACCACCAACAACCUCCUCCUGGCCGGAGAGAAGGCGGUGAGCUGCGGCGCCCCCAAGGCGUCGGAAAUCUACGAGCUCGCCGUCAUCAAGGAGCUCCAUCUCAGGACCAUCGAUGAGCUUGGCCUAGAUAGCUCCAUUGUUUCAGGUUUUUUGGACGAGUUGGAGCAACUGCUCAAGGGUGUUGCUAUGAUGAAAGAGCUGACUCUUAGGACACGAGAUUACCUUGUUUCCUUUGGUGAAUGCAUGUCUACAAGAAUAUUUUCUGCAUAUUUGAAUAAACUAGGGAAGAAGGCACGACAGUAUGAUGCUUUUGAUCUUGGCUUUAUAACCACUGACGAUUUCACAAAUGCCGAUAUUCUCGAAGCAACUUAUCCUGCUGUUGCAAAGAGGCUACAUGGAGAUUGGAUUGAUGACCCUGCUAUUCCUAUAGUGACUGGUUUCCUUGGGAAGGGAUGGAAAUCUUGUGCGGUCACAACGUUAGGAAGGGGCGGCAGUGACUUGACCGCUACAACCAUUGGCAAAGCCUUGGGGUUAAGAGAAAUUCAGGUUUGGAAGGAUGUAGACGGUGUGUUGACGUGUGAUCCAAAUAUUUAUGCAAACGCGGUAGCAGUACCCUACUUGACUUUUGAUGAGGCAGCUGAACUUGCUUAUUUUGGUGCACAGGUUUUGCAUCCCCAAUCCAUGCGACCAGCCAGGGAAGGUGGUAUCCCAGUUCGAGUGAAGAACUCAUAUAACCGUCAUGCACCUGGCACUGUGAUCACUAAAACAAGAGAUAUGCGCAAGAGCAUAUUAACCAGCAUUGUCCUGAAAUCAAAUAUUACCAUGCUGGAUAUAGUGAGCACAAGGAUGCUCGGACAGUAUGGCUUUCUAGCAAAGGUCUUCUCAAUAUUUGAAGAUUUGGGUAUCUCUGUUGAUUCUGUGGCUACUAGUGAAGUCAGCAUAUCAUUGACACUAGAUCCAUCAAAACUGUGGAGUCGUGAAUUGAUCCAGCAGGAGCUUGAUCAUGUAGUUGAAGAGCUUGAAAAGAUUGCGGUUGUUCAUCUCCUACAGCACAGAUCAAUCAUUUCCCUGAUAGGGAAUGUGCAGAGAUCGUCUCUGAUUCUUGAGAAGGCGUUCAAUGUUCUACGCAGAAAUGGUGUUAAUGUUCAGAUGAUUUCGCAAGGGGCGUCCAAGGUGAACAUCUCCUUGGUGGUGAAUGACAGCGAGGCGAAGCAGUGCGUGCAAGCCCUCCACUCGGCAUUCUUUGAGAACGGUUUCUUGUCAGAAGUAGAGGAAGCGGACCUUGCGCAGAAGAGGGCUCCAGUCCUAGUAAGCUCGAAUGGUGCCAUCAACGGAAACUAG